rnacentral:rRNA from 1 species
UACGGAGGGUGCAAGCGUUGUCCGGAUUUAUUGGGUUUAAAGGGUGCGUAGGCGGCUCCUUAAGUCAGCGGUGAAAGCCCGGGGCUCAACCCCGGAACCGCCGUUGAUACUGGGGGGCUUGAGUAUGGACGAGGUUGGCGGAAUUGAGGGUGUAGCGGUGAAAUGCUUAGAUACCCUCAAGAACACCGAUUGCGUAGGCAGCUAACUAGGCCAUAACUGACGCUGAGGCACGAAAGCGUGGGGAGCGAACAGG